rnacentral:rRNA from 1 species
UACAGAGGUCCCAAGCGUUGUUCGGAUUCACUGGGCGUAAAGGGUGCGUAGGUGGCCGGGAAAGUUUGAUGUGAAAGCUCAGGGCUUAACCCUGAAAUGGCAUUGAAUACUACUUGGCUGGAGGUUUGGAGGGGGGACUGGAAUUCUCGGUGUAGCAGUGAAAUGCGUAGAUAUCGAGAGGAACACCAGUGGCGAAGGCGAGUCCCUGGACAACACCUGACACUGAGGCACGAAAGCCGGGGGAGCAAACAGG